AAGACCUUACUUCAUAGGAUCAUUUCUAUAGUAAGCUCUUCGCUAGACCUUCACACUAUGUGAAACCACCCUUAGCUAAGGAGGGAUGUCGAAAGUGAAAAAAAUAUCGAUACAUCGAUAUUAAAAAAAAAACAAUCAAUAUUGGC